AGGUCAAGCGACCAAGAGCCAACGGCGGAUCCCUAGGCACGCAGAGGCGAGGAAGGACGCGGCAACCGGCGAUACGCUCCGGGGAGCCGGAAGCAGGCAGCGAUCCGGAGGUUUCCGAAUGGGACAACCCCAAGCAUGGGCCGCUGAAUCCAUAGGCGGUCUCGGGCCAACCCGGCGAACUGAAACAUCUCAGUAGCCGGCGGAGCAGAAAGCAACCGCGAUUCCCUUAGUAGCGGCGAGCGAACGGGGACCAGCCCAAACCGCUCGCUACGGCGAGCGGGGUUGUGGGGCGGCCAUCAGGGAUGGGAAAGGCUAGGCGAAGCAGCUGAAUGCUGCACCAGAGCGGGUGAAAGUCCCGUAGCCGAAAGCUGGAACCGCCCGGCCGGACCCCGAGUAGCUCGGGGCACGGGGAACCCCGAGUGAAGCGGCGAGGACCACCUCGCAAGGCUAAAUACUCCUGCGUGACCGAUAGCGGACCAGUACCGCGAGGGAAAGGUGAAAAGAACCCCGGCGAGGGGAGUGAAACAGAACGUGAAACCGUUGGCUUACAAGCAGUGGGAGGACGAUUCAACGUCUGACCGCGUGCCUGUUGAAGAAUGCGCCGGCGAGUGGCUGGUCGUGGCUUGGUUAAGGCGGUUUCCGCCGGAGCCAUAGCGAAAGCGAGUCCGAAUGGGGCGCGUACGGUCACGGUCAGCCGACCCGAACCCGGGUGAACUAACCAUGCCCAGGAGGAAGCUUGGGUAAAACCAAGUGGACGUCCGAACCGACCAACGUUGCAAAGUUGGCGGAUGAGGUGUGGUUAGCGGUGAAAUGCCAAUCGAACCCGGAGCUAUCUGGUUCUCCCCGAAAUGCGUUUCGGCGCAGCCGUGGUGAGACCGAGCUGGGGGUACAGCACUGUUUCGCCGAGGGCCGCGAAAGCGGUACCGAGGCGAGGCAAACUCGGAAUACCAGCCGGAGCGCCACGAGUGAGACGGUGGGGGAUAAGCUCCAUCGUCGAGAGGGAAAGAGCCCAGACCACCAGCUAAGGCCCCCAAAUGGCCGCUAAGUGAUAAAGGAGGUGGGAAUGCUGAGACAACCAGGAGGUUUGCCUAGAAGCAGCAAUCCUUAAAAGAGUGCGUAAUAGCUCACUGGUCAAGCGUUCCCGCGCCGAAAAUGACCGGGGCUAAGCGGCCUGCCGAAGCUGUGGCGUUCGAGCGAUGCGCUCGGACGGGUAGGGGAGCGUUCCGCGGGGGGCGAAGCACUAGCGACGAGCAGGUGUGGACCGCGCGGAAGUGAGAAUGUCGGCUUGAGUAGCGAAAACUGAGGUGAGAAUCCUCAGCCCCGAAACCCCAAGGGUUCCUUCGGAAGGUUCGUCCGCGAAGGGUCAGUCAGGACCUAAGGCGAGGCCACAAGGCGUAGCCGAUGGCAAACGGGUCAACAUUCCCGUACCGUUGCGGGUUGGUGAUGGGGGACGGAGAAGGCGAGGCCCAGCUGGGGAAUGGUCGUUCCCGGUGCAAGCGUUCGAGGCAAAGACGGGCGGCGAAAACGCCCAUCAGCCAAGGCGCGAGUCCGAGGGGCUACGGCCCCGAAGUGGAACCCGUCCGGCUUCCAAGAAAAGCCCUAACCACCGCAAGCUCGCAACGCCUGUACCCGAAACCGACACAGGUGGGGUGGUAGAGGAUACCGAGGGGCGCGAGAUAACUCUCUCCAAGGAACUCGGCAAAAUGGCCCCGUAACUUCGGGAGAAGGGGUGCCACCGUCAGGUGGCCGCAGUGAAGAGGCCCAGACGACUGUUUACCAAAAACACAGGUCUCCGCUAAGUCGAAAGACGCCGUAUGGGGGCUGACGUCUGCCCAGUGCCGGAAGGUUAAGGAAGCCGGUUAGCCGCAAGGCGAAGCCAGCGACCGAAGCCCCGGUGAACGGCGGCCGUAACUAUAACGGUCCUAAGGUAGCGAAAUUCCUUGUCGGGUAAGUUCCGACCCGCACGAAAGACGCAACGAUCUGGGCACUGUCUCGGAGAGGGACUCGGCGAAAUAGGAAUGUCUGUGAAGAUACGGACUAUCCGCACCUGGACAGAAAGACCCCGUGAAGCUUUACUGCAACCUGGAAUUGGGUUCGGGCCCCGCUUGCGCAGGAUAGGUGGGAGGCGCCGAAGGCUUGCCUGCGGGCGAGCUGGAGCCAUCCUUGAGAUACCACCCUGGCGAGGCCGGAAUCCUAACCGGCACCCGUGAGCCGGGGCGGGAACAGUUUCAGGCGGGCAGUUUGACUGGGGCGGUCGCCUCCUAAACGGUAGCGGAGGCGCGCCAAGGUUCCCUCAGGCUGGUUGAAAAUCAGCCGUCGAGUGUAAAGGCACAAGGGAGCCUGACUGCGAGAGGGACCACUCGAGCAGGGACGAAAGUCGGCCUUAGUGAUCCGGCGGCGCUGCGUGGAAGGGCCGUCGCUCAACGGAUAAAAGUUACUCCGGGGAUAACAGGCUGAUCUCCCCCAAGAGUUCACAUCGACGGGGAGGUUUGGCACCUCGAUGUCGGCUCAUCGCAACCUGGGGCGGGAGUACGUCCCAAAGCCCUCCUCAGUACGAGAGGACCGGGAGGGACGCACCGCUGGUGUACCAGUUAUCCCGCCAGGGGUAAACGCUGGGUAGCUAAGUGCGGAGCGGAUAACCGCUGAAAGCAUCUAAGUGGGAAGCCCACCUCAAGAUGAGUGCUCUGGCUCCUUUAAGGAGGUAAGGUCACGGGAAGACUACCCGUCGAUAGGCGCUAGGUGUAAGGUCAGCAAUGGCUUGAGCCGAGGCGUCCUAACAGACCGAGGGCUUGACCGCG
rnacentral:rRNA from 1 species